rnacentral:rRNA from 1 species
AUUUUUAAAGCUUGCUUGAUAAAAAUUUACAAGUUAAAAUUAGUUUGAAAAAUAAUUUUUUGGUUUAGUAAUGGUUGAUAAAAUAAAAAAAAAGCUAUAGCUCAUCAGUACUGUGAAGGAAUGUGAAUGCAAAUUUACAUAGAAUGUGUUUAUUUCUAUACCUUGUGUAUUAGGGAAGAUCAAUAUAAACCUAAAAAGUUAGAGAUCCCGAAAUAUGAACAGUUAAAUUUAUAUUAUUCUUUCUAUAAAAAAAAAAUCUUGAAUAUAAAUUUAAAAGUAAAAUGCUAGUCGAGUCUUAUUAUAUCUGGUUUUUUUAAAUUUAAAUUUAAUUUAUAUUUUAAAAUUAAUUUGUUUUAAAAGUAACUAUAGGAGGGACAAGCUUCUUAUAAAAUAACAUAAAAUAGUUAUAUAUUUUGUAUUUUCUAAAAAGUUAAGCUUUAAAGUAGCUAUACUGAUAAAGUGUUACAACUAAUUUUCUAAAAAUUAAUUUAUAUAAACUUUUAGUAGUAUAAAAAUUUUAAAGAACAAUAUAGCAACUAAAGCUAUAAUGAUUUUAUUAGUAAAAUAUUUUGUUUAAAAAAAAAAAUAAAAUUUCAUGAAUAAUAUAAUUACAAUACUAAGAAAUUGUAUAGGAACUCGGCAAACAAAUUUCUUGCCUGUUUAUCAAAAACAUGUCUAUUUGAAGUUAUAAAAAGUCUGAUCUGCCCGCUGAAUUUUUAUUUUAAGGGCCGCGGUAUCAUGACCGUGCAAAGGUAGCAUAAUCGUUUGGUUUUUAAUUGAAAUCUUGUAUGAAUGAUUCGACAAAGAAAAAGCUGUCUUUACAUUUACAAUUGAAUUUAACUUUUAAGUGAAAAGGCUUAAAUAAAUUAGUAAGACGAUAAGACCCUAUAAAACUUUAUAUGAAUUGGUACUUAGUUGACUUGUUUAUAAAAUCAAUAGUAUAAAUAUCAUAUUAUAUUGGGGCGAUAAAAAUAUAAUUAGUACUAACUGUUAGCAAAUUAAAUCACAAAUAAGUGUUUAAAAUUUAUAGAUGAUCCUUUUUAGAGAUUAAAAGUUUAAGUUACUUUAGGGAUAACAGCGUUAUUUUUUUUGAGAGUUCAUAUCGAAAAAAAAGUUUGCGACCUCGAUGUUGAAUUAAAGUGUCUU